rnacentral:misc_RNA from 1 species
GAUGAAGAACGUAGCGAAAUGCGAUAAGUAAUGUGAAUUGCAGAAUUCAGUGAAUCAUCGAAUCUUUGAACGCACAUUGCGCCCGCCAGUAUUCUGGCGGGCAUGCCUGUUCGAGCGUCAUUACAACCCUCAGGCCCCCGGGACUGGCGUUGGGGAUCGGCGGAGCCCCCCGUGGGCACACGCCGUCCCCCAAAUGCAGUGGCGGUCCCGCCGCAGCUUCCAUCGCGUAGUAGCUAACACCUCGCGACUGGAGAGCGGCGCGGCCACGCCGUAAAACACCCAACUCUUCUGAAGUUGACCUCGAAUCAGGUAGGAAUACCCGCUGAACUUAAGCAUAUCAAUAAGCGGAGGA